UCCCACCUGACCCCAUGCCGAACUCAGAAGUGAAAUGCCGUAGCGCCGAUGGUAGUGUGGGGUCUCCCCAUGCGAGAGUAGGGAACUGCCAGGC
rnacentral:rRNA from 1 species